rnacentral:rRNA from 1 species
UACAGAGGGUGCAAGCGUUAAUCGGAAUUACUGGGCGUAAAGCGCGCGUAGGUGGUUUGUUAAGUUGGAUGUGAAAUCCCCGGGCUCAACCUGGGAACUGCAUCCAAAACUGGCAAGCUAGAGUAUGGUAGAGGGUGGUGGAAUUUCCUGUGUAGCGGUGAAAUGCGUAGAUAUAGGAAGGAACACCAGUGGCGAAGGCGACCACCUGGACUGAUACUGACACUGAGGUG